rnacentral:rRNA from 1 species
UACAGAGGGUGCGAGCGUUAAUCGGAAUUACUGGGCGUAAAGCGUGCGCAGGCGGUUAUGCAAGACAGAUGUGAAAUCCCCGGGCUCAACCUGGGAACUGCAUCUGUGACUGCAUCGCUGGAGUGCGGCAGAGGGGGAUGGAAUUCCGCGUGUAGCAGUGAAAUGCGUAGAUAUGCGGAGGAACACCGAUGGCGAAGGCAAUCCCCUGGGCCUGCACUGACGCUCAUGCACGAAAGCGUGGGGAGCAAACAGG